CAGGUCAGGCGGGGCUACCCGCUGAGUUUAAGCAUAUCAAUAAG
rnacentral:rRNA from 1 species